rnacentral:rRNA from 1 species
GAGUUCAAGCGGGAGUACUCCUUCUAAGCUAAAUAUCACCACGAGACCGAUAGCGAACAAGUACCGUGAGGGAAAGUUGAAAAGCACUCUGAAUAGAGAGUCAAAAAGUACGUGAAACUGCCUAGGGCUCAAGCCCGUUGAACUCGAUUAUCCGAACGGAGAUAUUCACCUGUGGUUGGGCCCCGCGGUUCCGCCACAGGGCACUUAUCUCCGGUUUUCACGAGGACAUUGCGAUCCAUUACGAAACGCUUGUGCCGCUUGCGGCGCAAAAUCGCCCGACAAUUGUCCCUGUCGGUUGCUUGUCCCACAGUAGCGUGCAUUCAGUUCUGAAGGCCUAUGCCGCGAGCCGGGACUUACCGUACGUGGUGUACAGUCGGGCGCGUGAUGGAUUCACCCCAUGACACCGUCUUCCGUAUGCCUCCCGCAUACCCGCUCAGUCUGGGCCGGCGGAUUGUCGAUCGGCAAUGAUAAAAUCGAGGU